UGUGAGUCUUUGUACUAAAUAAGUCAAAACUUUCAACAACGGAUCUCUUGGUUCUGGCAUCGAUGAAGAACGCAGCGAAAUGCGAUAAGUAAUGUGAAUUGCAGAAUUCAGUGAAUCAUCGAAUCUUUGAACGCACAUUGCGCCCGCCAGUAUUCUGGCGGGCAUGCCUGUUCGAGCGUCAUUUCAACCAUCAAGCCCCCGGCUUGUGUUGGGGACCUGCGGCUGCCGCAGGCCCUGAAAACCAGUGGCGGGCUCGCUAGUCACUCCGAGCGUAGUAAUACAUCUCGCUCAGGGCGUGCUGCGGGUUCCGGCCGUUAAAAAGCCUUAUUUACCCAAGGUUGACCUCGGAUCAGGUAGGAAUACCCGCUGAACUUAAGCAUAUCAAAAGCGAGAAAGUUACG
rnacentral:rRNA from 1 species